GAGGAGGAAGAAGAAGAAGAAGAAGCAGAAGAAGAAGAAGAGGGGAAGCACGGCUCCCCCGCCGUCGAGCGCCGCUCUGCCCCCCUUGAUG